GGCCUUCCAGUCCCGGGCUCGGCUAUAAAAGGUGGAGAAAGCUUGCAAGCACACCAGACGCUGCUACUCGACUCGCGACAUCUGAAGCUUCUCUCACUCAGCACCAUGAGAACAUUGACCCUCCUGCUUGUAGUGGCUGUGGCCCUGGCAGUGCUGGUGGUGGUAAAGGCCAUGCCCGAACCAUUCCCAGACGCGGACGCCGAGGCCGUCGCCGAUCCCGAUCCACAUUGGAGACGCUUCGGUUACGGCGGCCGUCGGUUUGGAUACGGUGGCUAUGGUCACCGACAUGGCUUCGGACACUAUGGUGGUUUUGGUGGCUUUGGCGGAUAUGGCGGAUAUGGAGGUUUUGGCCACGGGCAUUAUCACUGGGGAUAAGUUACACGAGACAUCGGGCCAGCUGGGGGUGUGGGUAAGGUUAUACCACCUUGGGGAUCUCGAGUUACAACCUGUACACGUUUUCAAAUCGACGACAGAGAGGGAGCCCAGGGCUCAUCCAUCACUCCAGAUACUCCACCAGUCACUGUCGCUACACUGGCCCCGCCACGCACUCUCCACUAGCAGCCAAGCGUUUAAGUCACUCGUGUCCACAGCAUGGCAUCAUUUUUACAGUAAAUGAUUCAUUUCAUCUUCAAAACAGCAGUAAAACAUCACAACUACAUUGUGUUUUAUCCCUCGCCUAUUAAAAUGAUUAAGGUGACCAAAGGGCAGAAAUAGAGUACUCCUUUUCGGCCCGUGUUUCCCUCACCACCUACCUACACUUGUCAAAAUGUCCAUUUAUUAUUGAUAAUGACCGAUGAAAAUAUUACGUAUUACUAAUAUUACCAAUAAAAUCAAUAGUAAUAAAAGAAUAGAAAACAAUGUAUUAUGCCCUACUCUAAUUACUGUAUACAUAUUCUCCCAUAUAUUUUGCAUCUUCAUCUUAUAUACUCUUUUGAUUGAUUGAUUGAUUUAGUACAUGAAUAUAUGUAAUCCUUUACUUUUUUUUUACCUAUUUUAUCAUUAUUAUUACCAUUUUUUUUAAUAACGACUGCUGUGCACAAGAUUGCGAAUGAACGUUAGGUAAUAUUCUUGUUGCAAGGGCACUGUUCACUGGAAAAAAUGGGUUCAUGAAACGACAGAGUUGUACCUUGAAAUAUGCUGUUUCCCUUUUUGGCAUUUGAAUAUUGCUGAACGAAAGGCUGAUUUCUAGACUUUUACUUAACAUAAUCAUAACAGUUUUGUAGCACAGAGGGUUAUUAAGUUCCUCUUCGUUCUCUCAUCCAUAGUUUCUUUGCUGUUUCUUUUACGUUUACCGAGUGUUUGAAAAUAAUCCAAACACGGCCACACAUUGCCUCCACUUGAUAAGUUUGAUUCUUGGGCGCGCCGUUCACUUUCCUUAAUUAGGCAAGGCAAUCAGGGCUCCACUGAUUAGCAUCGCAACGAGGGUUACUUAUGUGUGUCGACUUGGACCAAUCAGUGAAGUGAAUUUUUAGAUUCUGAACAAAAUGAACAUUAGUAAACAUAGUAAGAGAUGGUUAUUUUUUUCAAUACCCCGAUCACUUCACGUUUGUCUUACUUUAACCUUCACAUAAAGAAAUAGCAACAAAAACAGACACAAAGGAAAAAAAUGGUACCUAUGGUCGGGAAACAUCCGCUACAGGGCGUUGCAACACAUGCCUGACUACAAAAGACGCGAGGACUUCCCAGACAGAUUAGACACCAUCCGUCAUCUCUAGGCGGCAGACUCUUCCUACUUCCUGCAUCAUGAGAGCCCUGACAUUCCUAUUUGUGGUGGCCGUGGCCCUGACGGCGUUGAUGGUGGUCCAGGCCAUUGCCUACCCCUUCCCAGACGCAGACCCCGAGGCCAUCGCCGACCCUGAUCCACACAGGGGAUUCCGACGCUAUGGCAGAUACAGUGGCCGCGGCCGUGGACAGGGCUACGUAUAUCAUCACGGCUGAAUGAAAGAAAUUAGCGAGCCAGCUGGAGGAGUCAACAUCUUGCGGGGCACUCACAUCCAAGCGCUAUAUGAUGUGGACGAUGCGGCAGGCAUGCCAUCCCGACACCCGCUGCCGUCUACUGCAUCCCAGUCGCCAAUGAUUUACCAAAAUAAUGUUCUCAGGGUAUUUUUAAACGCUAACGUCAGGUGUUUUUAAAUAGGCAAUGUAUCACUUAUCUUAUUACAAUAUUGUCUGUAAUUUCAAAAUAAAUUUUAAACAUUAUA